UCCGCCAGGGGACUACGAGCACUAGCUUAAAACCCAAAGGACUUGGCGGUGCUUUAGACCCACCUAGAGGAGCCUGUUCUAUAACCGAUAACCCCCGUUAAACCUCACCCCUUCUUGCUAUUUCCGCCUAUAUACCGCCGUCGUCAGCCUACCCCGUGAAGGAUGAAGAGUAAACGAAAUUGGUAUCACCCAAAACGGCAGGUCGAGGUGUAGCGUAUGAAGGGGGAAGAAAUGGGCUACAUUUCCUAAACAGGAAAUUACGGACUGUACAAUGAAAAAGUACACAAAGGAGGAUUUAGCAGUAAGUAGAAAAUAGAGUGUUCU
rnacentral:rRNA from 1 species